GCGGAAGUGGCGGAACUGGCAGACGCGCAAGACUCAGGAGCUUGUGGCCGCAAGGUCGUGGAGGUUCAAAUCCUCUCUUCCGCACCA
rnacentral:tRNA from 1 species